AAAUAGCCUAUGAUGAUAGCAUAGUUCAUCAGAUAGUAUACUGUUGAUAUAUUUGUCUUUCGCUCCUAUCUGAGGCUGAUG